rnacentral:lncRNA from 1 species
UUUUAAUUUUAAUAAAGAAAUUUUUUUAAUAAUAUUUUAAGUGUUUAAUUUUUUAAGUACAUUUGCUAAAGAAGUUAUCACGGAAGUACACUAGCUGUAGACUUUUUUUUGGUUGCAAAUUUUGAAUUAUAAAUAUUUUAUGUAUUUUUUCGAAUUUUUAAAAGAUUGGUACUCAAUUUUAUGCAUUUUUUUUACUUAUUCAAUAAUUCUAUAUUUUUAUUUUAUUUUUUAAAAUUUUUGAUAAAGU